ACGUGCUGGCCCUGUCCACACAGACGUCGACUCCAGCAAAAAUGUCCUGACUGACUUCAGGAGAGAGGAAUUAUUGCUACGUGCCUCUUUCCCAGUGAAGAAAAUCUCUGUUGGCUGCGAGCAGAGAAGCGGCGGAAGGAUUCCCGACUCCGGGAAGCCAGGUGUCGGAAGGAGGAAGUACGCUUGAAGGGGGUCCGGCUGGCCGACUCUGCACUCGUCCGUUCGUGGCCCACCGUGGUGGUCACCAAAUUGAGGGCUUCCUGGAAGGACCUCCUCACGGUGCCCAUCCACUGGGUCAUGUGGGUCUGGGCCACUGUGAGUUUAUCUCCCAGGUAAUCCAUGGGGCCAGCCAGGAGGAGAGGGAAGAAGGAAGUUAGGGAGGGAGAGAGCAAUUAAAACGCCAGUGUCCUCUUGCCUCUUUGGACUCUUUUGCUCAUGGAAGUUUUGGGCUUGCUUGGAGGAAAAAAAAUUAAAAACAGCAGCUUUCUUCAGGCAAACCAAGGGUAAGUAAACAUCCCUGAGCCAGGAGCCGGCUGCAUCCACGGGUGCCGCUCAGAAUUAAGAGGCAGCUAAGUGCCAGGCUGGGAGUCCACCCCAGCGGAGUUAUAAAGUCAACACACUGGGCAGUCCAGGUUCCAGUUCCAGGGCUCACCCAGCUGAUCGGCCGAGACAAGGAGCUUUGAGGAACAAGCCGGCUGCACUCACUCCAGGGCGUGACGGUCCCGAAAGGCGGGGGAUGGGGAUGGGGGUGGGGGUGGAGGGGGCGGCCUUUGGGCACCCUCGUCCUCACUUCCCUUCAGGUAGGCAGCCCCCCUGAGGUGCACCCUGGGAGGUUCCGGUGGGCAAGCUGCCGCACCCUGCUGCCCCCUGCCCGGCUGCCCUCGGCCAGACCCCGCUCACCUGACCCAUGCAGGUUUUCUGUCCUCUGGCUGGAGAUUCCAAACCUGUCGGCCGGCAGGCGGCUAGCUCACUUCCGGAGCUGUCUCUCCCUCCCUCUCUGGAAGGCAACACUGAUCCAGGAUCUCACUCUGUUGCCCAGGCUGGACUGCAGUGGCAUGAUCACAGCUCACUGCAGCCUUGGCCUCCCAGGCUCAAGCGAUCCUCCCACCUCAGCCUCCUCGGUAGCUAGGACUACAGGUGGAGCAACACCGUCAGUCAGAAGGCAGCGGAUGGCACAGGGCUUCCGCGUAAGGCCUGCAUCGCCUGAGUCAUGGUUUUCUCAUCUUGUAUGAGGCCCACCCCCUUCAAAAGGUUGUGACAAAAAAAACAACUGAGAUAAUUUGUGCCGCUGGCACAUAGUUAACACUCAAUAAGGCCGGGCGCAGUGGCUUACACCUCUAAUCCCAGCACUUUGGGAGGCUGAGGCAGGUGGAUCACUUGAGGCCAGGAGUUCGAUACCAGCCUGACCAACAUGGUGAAACCCCAUCUCAACUAAAAAUACAAAAAUUAGCCAGGCAUGGUGGUGUGCACCUGUAGUCCCAGCUACUUGGGAGCCUGAGGCAGGAGCAUCUCUUGAACCCGGGAGGUGGAGGUUGCAGUGAGCGGAGAUGGCACCACUGCACUCCAGCCUGGGCGACAGAACAAGACUCUGUCUCAAAACAACAACAACAACAAAAUAAUAAAUGGUGACCACAAGGGAUGAUCGUUUUUCUAUUAUAAUUCCUAUCAUCUCACUGUUCAAAUGAAUCACAGGACCCUAGACAGUCAGAAUCAAGACACCAGCAGGGACCAACCUAGGCCAACCUUCCCACUAAACUGAAGAAACAGGCCCAGACCGAGGGCUGCCCUAAGGCCUCACAGUCCAUCUGCAGCAGG
rnacentral:lncRNA from 1 species